GAAAAACAAUAGAAACCAGAUCUUUCUUAAAUAAUAAAGAAAACUCAGUACUUUAUAUCCAUAGAAGAAGUGAAAGAGGAAAUCGAGGGAAAAUGUCAAGAGAGAAACUCCGAAGAGCCACACUCCCUCCUGUUCAGGAGAAUAUUAAUAAGUUAGAGAAAGCUAUAAAUGAGGGUAAUUUCUAUGGGGCUCAGCAGAUGUACAAAUCUAUAAGUGCACGUAUGUAUCUGCUGAAAGAUAUUCUGAGGCCUUGGAUUUGCUUGAGUCAGGUGCAUGCCUCCAGUUGAAGCAUGGCCAGGUUAUUGUGGGGCAGAGCUUGCAGUUUUGUUUGUUGAUGCACUUGUCAAAGGGAAAAUUCCAUAUUGCGAAGAUAUCCUUGACCGUGUCAGGAAAAUCUAUAAUGUGUUUCCGAAGGUGCCACUGCCUAGUAACAUGGAAGAUGACGAUGAUGUUCAAGAACUUAAUGAAGCUCUUGGGGCUGCAAAAACACGUCUAGAAGGUUGUUCAUCAUUCAUAAGAGCUGCUAUAAAGUGGUCUGCAGAGUUUGGUGCUUCCAGGAACGGUGAUCCACAACUGCAUGUUAUGCUGCAGAAUACAUAUAUUCCGAAUCUACUGAGUUGAACAUGGCUAAAGUGUCCUAUCAUUUUGUUAGAGGAAACAACCCAAAGAAGUUUGCAUCUACAUUAGUAAAUUUCAUGGGCAAGUGUUAUCUCGGUGAAGAUGAUCUAGCCAUCGCACAGGCAGUUUCUUAUGUAAGCCUGCUGAAAAUCUUCUCACUUGCCUGUAAUUUACUGUUCCUAUUGCCAGUACAGUUGAAAAGGACUUUAAUCUUGACCUCGCAUCUUAAAUUUAGUUUUUCUCAAAGUCAAAAUUCUACGGUCCAUAAGAUAUUAUGUAUUUCAUUGUUUCCCUUUUCUAAGUGGUCCUUUGUAAUUUAUAAACUUAAAUUGAUUAUUAACAAGCCAUGUUCCACUUCCAAACUACAAAUGGAUUUCUUUUCUAUGAGACGGUUAUAAAUUUCCUUCUAUGAUACGGUAUCUAGUUUUUCAUUUGUCCUUUUCUUUUCUGAAUCUUUAUAUGGUCCAAACUUUAAAAUUUUGAUACUGUUACUUUGUUAAUAAUGUAGCAACAAAUUGUAUGAAUAAAGAAAAUGGCAUUUACAUUAUGGUACUUGUCUAUGGUUAAUCUCCGAGAUGCAAAUUACCUUAUGGAUGAAUUAAAGAGACUAGUGGAAUCUUUGGAGCUUGAUUUCCCCGAAUCGGAUUUGAUUCAGUUAAUCACUUUUCUCUUGCUAACUCUUUGGUAUGCAGGUUGGAAAGAGAUGCCUUGCCUCUUUUUAAUAUGUUGAGAGUGAAUUACAAGUCUAGCAUAGACAGAGAACCUGCAUUCAACGUGUUGCUAGAUGAAUUGCAGAAAAGUUCUACGGUGUACAGCGUAGAAAUCCCCUUCAAGGGAUGUUUGGUGACUUAUUCAAGAUGAUGUGAGGAGUAAGAACAUGGCUGCAACCUGUGUUUGUCCGAAUUUGUUGGAAUUUGCCGGUUCCUUGGCAGAUCCAGACAGCUCUGAUUUUCAUGGUCUUUGGUCUGAUGAAAAAUUCCUUUUUAUUGUUUAAAAUACUUUUGUAAUAUGUUUCCCAUCGACUGGGUGUGUGAUAUUUAUCCUUAACCAAUGAAACCGGUAUACUUGAGGAUGAA